ACUUCAGACUUUAUUACAAAGCGACAGUCAUUGAAACAGUAUGGUACUGGCACAAAAACAGAAAUACAGAUCAGUGGAACAGGAUAGAAAGCCCAGAAAUAAAUCCAUGCACAUAGGUCAAUUAAUCUACCACAAAGGAGGCAAAAUAUACAAUGGAUUAAGGUGCUGGAAACGUUGGACAGCUCCAUGUAAAAGAAUGAAAUUAGAACGCUCUCUAACACAUAAACAAAAAUAAACUCGCAAUGAUCCCACUCCUGAGCAUCUAUCCAGAGAAAACCUUGACUCGCAAAGACACACAUACUCCGAUGUUCAUUGCAGCACUAUUUUCAAGAGCCAAGACACAGAAACCACCUAAAUGCCCAUCAACAGAGGAGUGGAUCAAGAAGAUGUGGUCCAUACACACAAUGGAAUAUUACUCAGGCAUUAGGAGGAAUGAAAUGCCAGCAUUUUUAGCCACAUGGAUGGACCUAGAAAAUAUCAUGCUAAGUGAAGUCAGUCAGACAAUGAGACACCAACAUCAAAUGCUUUCCCUGACGUGGAAUCUGAAAAAAGGACAGAAUAAACUUCUUUUCAGAACAGAUACUGACUCACAGACUUUCAAAAGCGUGUGGUCUCCGAAGGAGACAGUGUGGGGGGUGGGGGGAUGCGCUGGGGGUGUGGGAUGGAAAUCCUACAAAAUUGGAUUGUGAUGCUCAUUGUACAACUAUAAAUGUAAUAAAAUUCCUUGAGUAAUAAAAAAGAAGAAAGACAAAAAAAUUAAAAUAAUGAAAAAAAACCUCAAAAUGGAUUAAAGACCUAAAGUAAGGCCAGAUACCUGUAAGUCUCUUAGAGGGAAACAUAGGUAGAAUGUUCUUUGACGUAAAUCACAACAGUGUCUUUUUUGAUCCACCUCCUACAGUAAUGAAAAUAAAACACAAAUAAACAAAUAGGACCUAAUUAAACUUUUGCCCAGCAAAUGAAACUAUAAAAAAAAAAGGCAACCCAUAGAAUGGGUGAAAUUCUUUGCAAAUGAAGUAACUGACAAGGGAUUAAUCUCCAACAUAUACAAAUGUCUCAUACAGCUUUGUAUCAAAAAAAUAAACAGCACAAUUUUAAAAUGGUCAGAAGUUCUUGGAGUUCCCGUGGCACAGUGGUUAAUGAAUCCGACGAGGAACCAUGAGGUUGCCGGUUCAAUCCCUGGCCUUUCUCAGUGGGUUAAGGAUCCUGUGUUGCCAUGAGCUGUGGUGUAGGUCACAGACGCGGCUCAGAUCCAGCGUUGCUGUGGCUGUGGUGUAAGCCAGCAGCUGCAGCUCUGAUUCGACCCCUAGCCUGGGAACCUCCAUAUGCCGCGGGAGUGGCCCUAGAAAAAGGCAAAAAGACAAAAAAUAAAAAUAAAAAAUAAAAUAAAACGGUCAGAAGAUCUAAAUAGACAUUUCUCCAAAGAAGACACAGUAGCCAAAAAGCACAUGAAAAAAUGCUCAGCGUCCUAACUAUUAGAGGAAUGCAAUCAAAACUGCAAUGAGGUAUCAUCUCACACUGGUCAGAAUGGCCAUCAUCAAAAGUCCACAGACAAUAAACGUGGGCUGUGGAGAAAAGGGAACCUCCUACACUUUUGGUGGGAAUAUAAAAUGCUACAACCACUGCUGAAAACUGUAUGGAGGUUUCUCAGAAAACUAAGUAUAGAACUGCAGGUGAUUCAGCAAUACAGCUCCUGGAAAACCAUAAUCCAAAAAAUACAUGCAACCCACUGUUCACUGCUGUCCCAUCUGCAACAGCCAAGACAUGGGAGCAACCGCAGUGUCUAUUGACAGGGGAGUGGAUCAAGCUGUGGUGCAUGAGAAUUCCCACCGUGCCUCAGCAGGAUGAACCCAACGAGUAUCUCUGAGUAUGUGGGUUUGAUCUCCGGCCUUGCUGUGAGUUGCAGUGUAGGUCACAGAUGUGGCUUGGCCCAUGUUGCUAUGGCUGUGGCUGUAGCUGGCAGCUGCAGCUCUGACUCAACCCCUAGCCUGAGAACUUCUAUAUGCCAUGGGUGUGGCCCUAAAAGCAAAAAGCAAAAAAAAAAAAAAAAAAAAAAAAAAAAGGAUAUGGUUCCCAUAUACAGUGGAAUACUGCUCAGCCGUAAAAAAGAAUGAAAAAAUGCCAUUUGCAGCACCAUGGAUGGACCUGGAAAUUAUCCCGCAAAGUGAGGUAAAUCAGAUAAAGACAAACGUCAUAUGAGAUCAUUCAUAUGUGGACUCUAACCCGUGGCACAUGGGGGUCCCAGGCGAGGGGUCCAAUCGAAGCGACAUCUGCCUGCCUCCACCACAGCCACAGCCACGCGGGAUCCGAGCCGCAUCUGCGACCUGCACCACAGCUCACGGCAACGCCGGCUCCUUAACCCCCUGAGCGAGGCCAGGGACGGAACCUGCGUCCUCAUGGAUACUAGUCGGAUUCGUUUCCACCGCACCACGACGGGAACGCCCCAGACUCGGAGAUUCUGAAAAGGAACUUAUGGUUCCCAAAGUGGAAACGCCGAGGAGGAGGAUGAGCUGGGAAGUUGGGACCAAGGCGUACACACUCCCGUAUAGAAAAUAGCUGAGCACCAAGGAUCUGCUGUGCAGCGCAGGGAGCUCCGCUCAGUGCCACGUCGCAACCGACGGGAAAAGAACCUGAAAAAGAACGGGUGUGUGUGUGCAUAGAACUGAGUCACUCUGCCGCACGCCUGAAACUGACACAACUUUGAGAGUCCACUACACUCCAAUGAAAUCUUUCAAAUCUCUCUCACACACACCUGAACACAUCACCUCAGAAGUCCCAGAUCUCGUCCUCUAAAUAAUCUAAACCAGGGACGGUGAGGCUCUGGGCGUCCGUCCUGUGCGCAUCCCUCUUUGUCUGUGAACAGCUGACGCUCAAGAAACAAGUCAUCUUCCCCCAAAAUACACUGUCGGGACAGGCCUAUGCUAACAGUUUUGGAUAUUUCAAAAUGGGGGGAAAUGGAGGGAAAAAAGGAGUCUCGUGUCCCAAGCAAUUUCAACCUCCAGACAAACAGCUUUCCGCUUCAGGGUCCGAGCAGAAUCCUGUGUGGCUCCCAGGUCUGCCCUUGGCUCAUGGCUCCGCUCUGAAUUAUCCUCCCCUUUUCCUGAAGGGUAGCAGGACUUUGCCGGUAAGUAGCUCUAUCAGCUUGUUUCCCGCCAGGAGAAUUGGGGGGAGGCCCAAAGGUCUUCUCUCAGCUUUCAUUUCAGGCUGGAACUCAGUGUUUCUGCUGCUGGCAUAUGCUCAAGAACUUUGUGUGUCUCCACUGGACAAGGGGUCCCCCUGCACUAUUUCCUAGACAAUCCUGCAUCUACUGCCGGCUUCUGCUGAGACUGCUGAGGGGUCCUUCCUCUAACCUCUUCAAAGAUCCUCUGGGAUUGAAUACUGGCCUUUCUACCCUCCAAGGUAUUAGCAAAAAGGUUGUCCAGCCGCACCCCCAGCUUUCUUUCCAGACCACACGUGCGUGUGUUUGCACCGAGCUUCACAUUCUGCAACACCACUGACGGCAGGCACCCACUGUACCACCUGCACACACACGCUGCAGCACACACAUGCUGCAGCACACACCCACCCCGUGCUCACGGGCACACGCGAACCUCACAGCACAUACAGACACGUCACGUUGCAAGCACACAGGUUGUCUGCAAACACACCUAGGCAAUACGCACCCCCCACACACCUUAGAGACAUCCUGUAUUCCCACCACAGGUGUGUUACGCAACCCACCCAGAAAUAGCCACACCCACCCCAGGGCGUGUGCUCUGGGCUCACCUGACCAGGUUAGGGCGACUGCUCAGGUGGAGCCAAGAGGGGGCCUGGGACAGGAGGCCAGGCAGGCGGUGCCUGAUAGAAGAGGAAUUGAAAGGCCUGAAGUCGAAACACCAGAACCAGGUACUCUGAAGCAGAGGCUGGAGGAUGGGAGGCCCGGGGCACAUCUCCCAGAGGUCGGGACAAGACAGGGUGGCCCUCCCAGUGGCAGCUGUGUGCCCCUCACCAAGGACACCUCAGAAAGCUGGGGGGAUGGGAUGAGGUGCCCGGAGGGAGCGGCUGUGGGUACACGUCCCCCCCCAGCCUUGACCAUGCUCCUUUUUCUCUGUGGAAAAGGAGCAGGAACUACCUUUGCUGAGGUCCCAGCAGGCACUGAGCCCCUGGGAGGCCCGCAGCCCCGAGGCUGAGCCCCUGGGCGCCCCGGCAAGGCCCCGUCUACUUCUGUGCAGCCCUUCCAAGUCAGCAGGAAGGACACAGAGGCGGCGCUCCCCGGCCGGAGUAGGCUCAUGGAGAGCCCAGCCUCGCAGAAGAUGAGAGGUGGACGUGCAUUUCCUACCAAAGCUAACACGAGAAGCCCCAGGAGGCCGGCCCAAGGCCCAGAGGAGAACCUGCACAUGGGCCCAGGGACUUCGUCCUGCUUCCUUUGAGGUCUGUUGCUCAGGACCCGCCCAGCCUCAGGGCUAGCCUCCUCCGGGCCUCCCAAUCCGUGUUUUGCAGCCACUGGUCCCGGCAGGCCCUUGUGCGGCCACUGUCCUGUCCCCGCUUCGUUAAGGGCCACACCCCCGGCUCUGCCAGCCGAGCUUCUCUUUGAUGCCUCUUCUCAGGGUGGAGCCACAGGCUCUGGAAAAGGCCGACCAGAGACAAGUCAUCUGAACUCUGGGCCCCGGUUUCUCCACCUGUAGAACAGGCACCAGGUACUGAGCACGGGGCUUCGGGCAAUCAGCAAGACGGCGUGUGAGCGCGCACAGCUGCCUUAAUGGGUCACCUCAGACUCGGGCAUAACUGGCAGAGGUCCAUUCCCUGAGGUCUGGAGGCCAGACACCCAGGUCCCGCCAGGGCUGCGCUCCCCGACGGCUCUGGGGGGCCUUCCUGCCUCCUCUAGCACCUGCAUCUCUCCAUCUUCAGGUGCUUCUCCUCCUCAACCUGUGUCUCCUCUCCUGUCUCCGAGCGCCUGCCUUUCUCCUUGUCACUGGAUUCAGAGCCCCCCCAGUAACCCAGGGGGACCUCGUCUCAAGACCCCUCACCUCAAUGACACCUGUAAAGGCCAUUUUCCAAGUGGGGUCCCGCUCACGUUCUGCGAAUCAGGAGGGGACGUCUUUGGGGCCCGGCCAGCUGCCACCGCAGAAAGUUCAAUGUCCACGUGGAAGCGCCCAGCACAAAGCAGGGACUGGAGAAGGCAGCUGCCGGUGUUGUCGUGGAAGGGGUGGACUUGACCCAGCGCCAGCAGCCCCACACGGCGGGGGUCGCUUCCUCCUCCACCAUCACCCCAGGCCCCAUCGCCGGCGCCGGCCCUCCGAGAGCUGCUCUGCUCCCCACACCGGCAUCUCCCU
rnacentral:lncRNA from 1 species